rnacentral:rRNA from 1 species
UACGUAGGGUGCAAGCGUUGUCCGGAAUUAUUGGGCGUAAAGAGCUCGUAGGCGGUCUGUCGCGUCGGCUGUGAAAACCCGAGGCUCAACCUCGGGCCUGCAGUCGAUACGGGCAAACUAGAGUACUGCAGGGGAGACUGGAAUUCCUGGUGUAGCGGUGAAAUGCGCAGAUAUCAGGAGGAACACCGGUGGCGAAGGCGGGUCACUGGCCCGGUACUGACGCUGAGGUGCGAAAGCGUGGGGAGCAAACAGG